ensembl:snRNA U6 U6 spliceosomal RNA
GUACUCGCUUCAGCAGCACGUAUACUAAAAUUGGAAUGAUACAGAGAAGAUUAGCACAGCCCUUGCGCAAGGAUGGCACACAAAUUCGUGAAGCAUUCCAUAUUUUU